rnacentral:lncRNA from 1 species
GACCAUUUCCCCAGCAACCACUCCUAGACCAGGAUUAUUGAAGGACUGUUAGACCCCAGCUGACUCUGGAGGCUGCAGAGCUAGCUAUGAUCUGUGCUGGGACUAAAACCUGGGUUCUGACUUCUGGGUGAUAAUAGUUAAGCCUAGAGCCAUGAGAGGCCUGUGCUCCGUGGGACAGGAGGCUAAGAGCGGAACAGGGCCCACUGUUGGAUGCUACUGAUCACCAGACCGUGGCCUUUAUACACAUCAACUUGCUUCAUCUCCACCAGAACAAAUGAAUGACAAAACCAGAUGAAAGACAAAGCCAAAGUAAAUCCCUUCUCAUCUAUGUCACUGCAAAAGAUAUAGUAACAGCAAAAACAAGCUCUAAAAACCUUGUUUGUAAAAGGUUUGGUAAAACUGUUUCUUUAAAGACAUUCCAUCAUUUGGACUUUAAUUUUGCUAGGCUCUCCCUACCC